GAGUUUGAUCUUGGCUCAGAGUGAACGCUGGCGGUAGGCCUAACACAUGCAAGUCGAACGGCAGCACAGUAAGAGCUUGCUCUUAUGGGUGGCGAGUGGCGGACGGGUGAGGAAUACAUCGGAAUCUACUUUUUCGUGGGGGAUAACGUAGGGAAACUUACGCUAAUACCGCAUACGACCUACGGGUGAAAGCAGGGGAUCUUCGGACCUUGCGCGAUUGAAUGAGCCGAUGUCGGAUUAGCUAGUUGGCGGGGUAAGGCCCACCAAGGCGACGAUCCGUAGCUGGUCUGAGAGGAUGAUCAGCCACACUGGAACUGAGACACGGUCCAGACUCCUGCGGGAGGCAGCAGUGGGGAAUAUUGGACAAUGGGCGCAAGCCUGAUCCAGCCAUACCGCGUGGGUGAAGAAGGCCUCGGUU
rnacentral:rRNA from 1 species